AUCCAGCUAACGAGUCCCGAAUAGAUGGAAACGCACGUCCUGGAU
rnacentral:hammerhead_ribozyme from 1 species